ensembl:antisense C130080G10Rik RIKEN cDNA C130080G10 gene
ACCACAACCUGAGGAUGAUCGGAUGAUGAGUGCGGUUUUGACUUGCAUUUCCCUGAUCCUGGAGUGGCUGCUCCCUGAAGAGAGUCCUGGUCCUAGGAAUCUGGGAUUCUACCUGAAGUCCCAAAGAUGAACAAAUGGUAGAGAGGCACCUGACUGAGCCUGCUUCCUAACCGACUUCUCAGAACUGCCUGCCGCUGGGCUGCCUAACAGAAGCUCAAGUUCUGGGAUUCCACCCUUGAAGAGAAAUGAAUCUGCACUUAACUUAGUGAGCCCUGUAGGUCAGGACAUGUAGUUCUUGCUACCCUGAAGCUCACUAUGUACGACAGACUGGCCCCAACACACUGAGAUCUGCGUGGUUCUGUCUCCCCAGUGCUGAGAUCAAAGGUCGAGUUUAGGUCAAAGUUGUGGGCCCAGCCGAGAUGGGAGCAUCCCAGCCUUCCCAGGCACUCCCCCUCACUGUGAUGGACACGAGUGAAGGAACAUAGGAAGUCAAGUGUCAAUAACCUCCAACCUGAACCUUCAUGGCCACCUACCAUCCACAAGACAGAGCUGUGUAUAUUGGAGUCAGCUCUUCACCUGUGAUAUCAGCAGGGUCCGGAAGGGUGCUGAGCUUCCAUCAGCGAUGAGACUUAACAGGCAACAAACCCAAGGAGCGCUGUUGGCUUCCUACUGCCCAUACCCAUCUCUAGAAAGCAAACCAAUGGUGCGAGGUGCAGAACCUAGCCGAUUCUCUCCUCUCCCUCUCCUAAGCUCAGCAGCAGGGAGAGCUGACCUCCUGUUCUCACCUAGAAGCAGCAGAGCUGUGUGGGUCAGUCCCCUGCUUCCUGCCUCUCUGGACAACGAAGUCUGCCAGGAGACUAAGUUUCAUUCCCUUUUGAAGGCAAUGGGUUUGCAAGAGUCAGGGCAUAUCUUUCCUCAGGAGAGGAUUUCCCCCUAAUAAAAUAAAGGUGUCAU